AGUGGAUCUGGUGUGCAGUGAACCCGCUUACAUGGUCACGUCCUUCACUAACAGCAAGAUCGGCCUCUUCAACAUGGAGACCCAACAACUAAUGCAGAGCCUCGAGUCUACUACUGAGUCUGAUUAACAAAGUGCUGCGUCACAUCACCAUCAUGGCUCAGGAGGACCACCACAUCAAGUCCUACGACAGCAGCACGGGGAAACCCAUCCACUCCAUGGUGGCCCAUUUGGAUGCUGUUACGAGCCUUGCUGUGGAUCCAAAUGACCUGCUUGUGAUGUCUGG